UACGUAGGGGGCUAGCGUUGUCCGGAAUCAUUGGGCGUAAAGCGCGUGUAGGCGGCCCGGUAAGUCCGCUGUGAAAGUCGGGGGCUCAACCCUCGGAUGCCGGUGGAUACUGUCGGGCUCGAGUACGGAAGAGGCGAGUGGAAUUCCUGGUGUAGCGGUGAAAUGCGCAGAUAUCAGGAAGAACACCAACGGCGAAGGCAGCUCGCUGGGACGGUACUGACGCUGAGACGCGAAAGCGUGGGGAGCGAACAGG
rnacentral:rRNA from 1 species